UACGGAGGAUCCAAGCGUUAUCCGGAUUUAUUGGGUUUAAAGGGUGCGUAGGUGGCCUGUUAAGUCAGGGGUGAAAGACGGUAGCUUAACUAUCGCAGUGCCCUUGAUACUGAUGGGCUUGAAUGAACUAGAGGUAGGCGGAAUGUGACAAGUAGCGGUGGAAUGCAUAGAUAUGUCACAGAACACCAAUUGCGAAGGCAGCUUACUAUGGUUUUAUUGACACUGAGGCACGAAAGCGUGGGGAGCAAACAGG
rnacentral:rRNA from 1 species